rnacentral:rRNA from 1 species
UACGAAAGGGGCUAGCGUUGCUCGGAAUCACUGGGCGUAAAGGGCGCGUAGGCGGCCUGAUAAGUAGGGGGUGAAAUCCUGCGGCUUAACCGCAGGGCUGCCUUCUAAACUGUCAGGCUAGAGCACAGUAGAGGCAGGUGGAAUUCCCGGUGUAGCGGUGGAAUGCGUAGAGAUCGGGAAGAACAUCAGUGGCGAAGGCGGCCUGCUGGGCUGUUGCUGACGCUGAGGCGCGACAGCGGUGGGG